UACAGAGGUCCCCAAGCGUUGUUCGGAUUUACUGGGCGUAAAGGGUGCGUAGGCGGUCGGGUAAGUCUGGUGUGAAAUCUCAGAGCCUAACUCUGAAACUGCACUGGAUACUAUUCGGCUCGAGGUUGGGAGGGGAGACUGGAAUUCUCGGUGUAGCAGUGAAAUGCGUAGAUAUCGAGAGGAACACCAGUGGCGAAGGCGAGUCUCUGGACCAAUCCUGACGCUGAGGCACGAAAGCCAGGGGAGCAAAC
rnacentral:rRNA from 1 species